UGGGGAAUCUUGCGCAAUGGGCGAAAGCCUGACGCAGCAACGCCGCGUGGGGGAUGAAUGCCUUCGGGUUGUAAACCCCUUUCAGUCAGGCAAGCAGAAAGUGAAUCAGGUCGACCCUGCAAGAAGAAGCCCCGGCCGAACUACGUGCCAGCAGCCGCGGUAAUACGUAGGGGGCGAAGCGUUGUCCGGAUUUAUUGGGCGUAAAGAGCUCGUAGGCGGCUUGGCAAGUCGGGUGUGAAAACUUCAGGCUCAACCUGGAGGUGGCACUCGAUACUGCUAUGGCUAGAGUCCGGUAGGGGACCACGGAAUUCCUGGUGUAGCGGUGAAAUGCGCAGAUAUCAGGAGGAACACCGGUGGCGAAGGCGGUGGUCUUGGGCCGGCACUGACGCUGAGGAGCGAAAGCGUGGGGAGCAAAACA
rnacentral:rRNA from 1 species